rnacentral:snRNA from 1 species
AUCAGUUUGCCCAGUGACAGUAUCAUAGCCAAUGAGGUUUACCUAAGGCAUGAUUAUUGCUAACUGAAAAAGGAGAUCUAAGAGGAC